CUCUUAUCCUGAGCUGGUGGAGGGACAGGCCCAAUGAAACCCAGCAACCUGCUAAUUAUUAAAUUAUCAUUAGAGAAGGUGCUAACCUGCAAGGAAAUCCUUGGUCGAUAAGAG
rnacentral:ncRNA from 2 species